rnacentral:rRNA from 1 species
AUUGAACGCUGGCGGCAUGCUUUACACAUGCAAGUCGAACGGUAACGCGGGGCAACCUGGCGACGAGUGGCGAACGGGUGAAUAAUGCAUCGGAACGUGCCCGGUAGUGGGGGAUAACUGCUCGAAAGAGCAGCUAAUACCGCAUACGACCUGAGGGUGAAAGGGGGGGAUCGCAAGACCUCUCGCUAUUGGAGCGGCCGAUGUCGGAUUGGCUAGUUGGUGGGGUAAGGGCCCACCAAGGCGACGAUCCGUAGCUGGUCUGAGAGGACGACCAGCCACACUGGGACUGAGACACGGCCCAGACUCCUACGGGAGGCAGCAGUGGGGAAUUUUGGACAAUGGACGCAAGUCUGAUCCAGCCAUGCCGCGUGCGGGAAGAAGGCCUUCGGGUUGUAAACCGCUUUUGUCAGAGAAGAAAUCUUCUGGGUUAAUACCUCGGGAGGAUGACGGUAUCUGAAGAAUAAGCACCGGCUAACUACGUGCCAGCCGCCGCCGUAAAAC